GGUACUUUUUUAAGAAUUUUUUAUUCAACAUUGGUAGCCGUCAAAAAUAAUUUGUGAAAGUAAAAGAAUUCCUGUGAGAAACAAGAUGUGCCGAUUUCUUCCUGUCAUAGUCCUGGUUUUAAUCUCAGUGUGGUCAAGCUUCGCAUUAACACAGUAUGAGGUAGGUUAUGUCGACUUUGGAGAUUCAAAUACCUACACAGCAAUUAAUUUUCCGUAUAAACGAAAGACGGUUAAUGUUACCUUCAAGCAGCCCUUUGCCGUGGCGCCCAUUGUUAUCUCGUCUGUGGAAAUCAUGGACUUUGAAAAACUCUACAACACCAGAUGGCAGUACACUGUUGCUUCAGUCACUACAACAGGACUUCAACUUUUCAUGGACACUUGGGGUGACACCAAAAUUUACAAUAUUCGAGUUCGCUGGCAUGCGUUCAGCUUGUAGAUGUUUUGAAGACUUCCUUGUGGAAUAAAGUUGACAUGAAGUCUAGUCUACAAUACCUCUUCAAUAUGGUUGAUAAAACUUGCUGAAGUUGGCGAAUAAAC